UACGUAGGGUGCAAGCGUUAAUCGGAAUUACUGGGCGUAAAGCGAGCGCAGACGGUUAUUUAAGCCAGAUGUGAAAUCCCCGAGCUCAACUUGGGACGUGCAUUUGGAACUGGAUAGCUAGAGUGUGUCAGAGGGAGGUAGAAUUCCACGUGUAGCAGUGAAAUGCGUAGAGAUGUGGAGGAAUACCGAUGGCGAAGGCAGCCUCCUGGGAUAACACUGACGUUCAUGCUCGAAAGCGUGGGUAGCAAACAGG
rnacentral:misc_RNA from 1 species